AGCAGCCGCGGUAAUUCCAGCUCCAAUAGCGUAUAUUAAAGUUGUUGCAGUUAAAAAGCUCGUAGUUGAAUUUUGGGUCUGGCCGGGCGGUCCGCCCUCUGGGUGAGCACUGUUCCGACGCCGGGCCUAUCCUUCUGGUGAGUCGGCAUGUCCUUUAUUGGGUGUGUCGGGGAACCAGGACCAUUACCUUGAAAAAUUAGAGUGUUCAAAGCAGGCGUAUGCUCGAAUACAUUAGCAUGGAAUAAUGAAAUAGGACGCGUGGUGCUAUUUUGUUGGUUUCUAGAACCGCCGUAAUGAUUAAUAGGGAUAGUUGGGGGCAUUAGUAUUCAAUUGUCAGAGGUGAAAUUCUUGGAUUUAUUGAAGACUAACUUCUGCGAAAGCAUUUGCCAAGGAUGUUUUCAUUAAUCAAGACGAAAGUUAGGGGAUCGAAGACGAUCAGAUACCGUCGUAGUCUUAACCAUAAACUAUGCCGACUAGGAAUCGGGC
rnacentral:rRNA from 1 species